rnacentral:rRNA from 1 species
AGAGUUUGAUCAUGGCUCAGGACGAACGCUGGCGGCGUGCCUAACACAUGCAAGUCGUGCGAGAAAGCCCCUUCGGGGGUGAGUACAGCGGCGGACGGGUGAGUAACACGUGAGCGAUCUACCCGACAGUGGGGGAUAACCCAGGGAAACCUGAGCUAAUACCGCAUGUUGCGCCGGCUUAGAAGCCGAGCGUUAAAGCGGGCCUCUCUUUGAAGCUCGUGCUGUCGGAUGGGCUCGCGGCCUAUCAGCUUGUUGGUGGGGUAACGGCCUACCAAGGCGAUGACGGGUAGCUGGCGUGAGAGCGCGACCAGUCACACUGGGACUGAGACACGGCCCAGACUCCUACGGGAGGCAGCAGUGGGGAAUAUUGCGCAAUGGGCGAAAGCCUGACGCAGCGACGCCGCGUGGGGGAGGAAGGCCUCAGGGUUGUAAACCCCUGUCAGGUGGGACGAACCCCGGAUCGAGUAAUACACGGUCCGACUGACGGUACCACCAGAGGAAGCUCCGGCUAACUCCGUGCCAGCAGCCGCGGUAAUACGGAGGGAGCUAGCGUUGUUCGGAAUUACUGGGCGUAAAGGGCGCGUAGGCGGUCGGGUAAGUCGGGUGUGAAAUUCCGGGGCUCAACCCCGCGAACUGCAUCCGAUACUGCUCGACUUGAGAGAGGUAGGGGCGAGUGGAAUUCCCGGUGUAGCGGUGGAAUGCGUAGAUAUCGGGAAGAACACCGGUGGCGAAGGC